GGGGUGUUAGCUCAGUCGGUUAGAGCAGCGAACUCAUAAUUCGUCGGUCCGGGGUUCAAGCCCCCGACGCCCCAC
rnacentral:tRNA from 1 species